rnacentral:rRNA from 1 species
GGUUGUUUCCCAUGAAGUAAGGCACCAAAUCCUGUCUGAUCUUGGAAGCUAAGCAAGGUCAACCCUGGUUAGUACUUGGGCAGGAGAUCAUGAAUGAAUACCAGGUGAUGCGGGCU